GUUUAUAUAGUUUAAAACAAAACAUUAUAUUUUCAAUAUAAAAAUAGAAUGCUCUUAUAAAUA
rnacentral:tRNA from 1 species